rnacentral:rRNA from 1 species
UACAGAGGUGGCAAGCGUUGUUCGGAAUUACUGGGCGUAAAGCGCACGUAGGUGGCGACGUAAGUCGGGUGUGAAAGCCCCGGGCUCAACCUGGGAAUUGCAUUCGAGACUGCAUUGCUGGAGUACAGAAGAGGAAGGCGGAAUUCCCGGUGUAGCGGUGAAAUGCGUAGAUAUCGGGAGGAACAUCAGUGGCGAAGGCGGCCUUCUGGUCCAGUACUGACACUCAAGUGCGAAAGCGUGGGGAGCAAACAGG